rnacentral:rRNA from 1 species
UAGGGAAUCUUCGGCAAUGGGGGGAACCCUGACCGAGCAACGCCGCGUGAGUGAAGAAGGUUUUCGGAUCGUAAAGCUCUGUUGUUAAGGAAGAACGAGUGUGAGAAUGUAAAGUUCAUACUGUGACGGUACUUAACCAGAAAGGGACGGCUAACUACGUGCCAGCAGCCGCGGUAAUACGUAGGUCCCGAGCGUUGUCCGGAUUUAUUGGGCGUAAAGCGAGCGCAGGCGGUUAGAUAAGUCUGAAGUUAAAGGCAGUGGCUCAACCAUUGUAGGCUUUGGAAACUGUUUAACUUGAGUGCAGAAGGGGAGAGUGGAAUUCCAUGUGUAGCGGUGAAAUGCGUAGAUAUAUGGAGGAACACCGGUGGCGAAAGCGGCUCUCUGGUCUGUAACUGACGCUGAGGCUCGAAAGCGUGGGGAGCGAACAGG